rnacentral:piRNA from 1 species
UCAGGGUAUAAAGCUUAGUCUUUUGAUCGC